rnacentral:rRNA from 1 species
AUGGAACACUUUGAAAGUCCUAUGGAGGAAAAAAAUGAAGUUCCUACUAGGAGCAAGAGACAAAGGACUGCUAAGUCUUUUGGUGAUGAUUUUCUUGUGUAUCUAAUAGAUGACACUCCCAGUUCUAUUUUAGAGGCCUAUGCAUCUGAAGAUGCUGACUACUGGAAGGAAGCGGUUCGUAGCGAGAUGGAUUCCAUCUUGGCGAAUGAAACUUGGGAGAUAACUGAUCGUCCUUAUGGGUGCAAACCUAUAGGAUGCAAAUGGGUAUUCAAGAAGAAGCUUAGGCCUGAUGGUACUAUUGAAAAGUACAAGGCUCGGCUCGUGGCAAAGGGUUAUAGCCAAAAGGAAGGUGAAGACUUCUUUGAUACUUACUCACCUGUGGCUCGACUGACCACUAUUCGAGUUCUACUUUCACUAGCUGCCUCACAUGGUCUUCUCGUUCAUCAAAUGGAUGUUAAGACUGCUUUCCAAAAUGGAGAGUUGGAUGAGGAAAUUUAUAUGGAACAACCAGAUGGGUUUGUAAUAGAUGGUCAGGAAGGGAAAGUGUGCAAGUUGCUGAAGUCUUUGUAUAGACUCAAGCAAGCACCCAAACAGUGGCAUGAGAAGUUCGAAAGAACUUUAACAGCUACAGGCUUUGUUGUGAUCGAAGCUGACAAAUGUGUGUACUAUCGCCAUGGUGGGGGCGAGGGAGUUAUGCUUUGCUUGUAUGUUGAUGACAUACUGAUUUUCGGAACAAAUCUGAAUGUUAUUAAGGAGACCGCAGGGACUUCAACUGUGCUGACGGACAUCAAGUUUUUGAGAGAUGAUGAUGGUGGGAUUACAUUGCUUCAAUCUCACUAUGUGGAAAAGAUCUUUAGUCGCUUUGGCUAUAGUGACUGCAAGCCCUCUCCAACACCUUAUGAUGCUAGCGUGUUGCUUCGAAAGAAUCGAAGAAUUGCUAGAGAUCAACUGAAGUAUUCUCAGAUUAUUGGCUCGCUUAUGUACUUAGCCAGUGCUACAAGACCUGACAUCUCUUUUGCUGUUAGCAAACUGAGUCGUUUUGUUUCAAAACCAGGAGAUGUGCAUUGGAAAGCUGUAGAGAGAGUUUUGAGAUAUUUGAAAGGCACUGCAAAUUAUGGAAUUCACUACACUGGGCAUCCAAAGGUGCGCCACGAGCGGUUAUGUAUUCACUCAUGGAGGUGGCGUUGUUUCUUGGAAGUCUUGCAAGCAGACCAUCUUAACGAGGUCAACAAUGGAAGCAGAACUCACAGCACUAGAUACAGCUAUAGUCGAAGCAGAUUGGCUUCGUCGGCUCUUGAAUGA